rnacentral:rRNA from 1 species
UGAAACUGCGAAUGGCUCAUUAAAUCAGUUAUGGUUUAUUUGAUGGUACCCUGCUCUUGGAUAACCGUAGUAAUUCUAGAGCUAAUACAUGCAGGAAUUCCCGACUUCGGAAGGGAUGUAUUUAUUAGAUAAGAAACCAAACCGGUCUCCGGUUGUGUGCUGAGUCAUAAUAACUGCUCGAAUCGCACAGCUCUACGCUGGCGAUGGUUCAUUCAAAUUUCUGCCCUAUCAGCUUUCGAUGGUAGGAUAGAGGCCUACCAUGGCGUUAACGGGUAACGGAGAAUUAGGGUUCGAUUCCGGAGAGGGAGCCUGAGAAAUGGCUACCACAUCCAAGGAAGGCAGCAGGCGCGUAAAUUGCCCGAAUCCUGACACAGGGAGGUAGUGACAAGAAAUAACAAUACAGGGCUCUCUGAGUCUUGUAAUUGGAAUGAGUACAAUUUACAUCUCUUCACGAGGAUCAAUUGGAGGACAAGUCUGGUGCCAGCAGCCGCGGUAAUUCCAGCUCCAAUAGCGUAUAUUAAAGUUGUUGCAGUUAAAACGCUCGUAGUCGGAUUUCGGGGCGGGGCCGCCGGUCUGCCGAUAGGUAUGCACUGGCGGGCGCGUCCUUUUUCCCGGAGACGGCUGCUACUCUUAACUGAGCGGUGGUCGGAGACGGGAUGUUUACUUUGAAAAAAUCAGAGUGUUUCAAGCAGGCAGUCGCUCUUGCAUGGAUUAGCAUGGGAUAAUGAAAUAGGACUCUGGUGCUAUUUUGUUGGUUUCGAGCACCGGAGUAAUGAUUAACAGGGACAGUCAGGGCACUCGUAUUCCGCCGAGAGAGGUGAAAUUCUUAGACCAGCGGAAGACGAACCACUGCGAAAGCAUUUGCCAGGAUGUUUUUCACUGAUCAGAACGAAAGUUAGGGAUCGAAGACGAUCAGAUACCGUCGUAGUCUAACCAUAAACCAUGCGACUAGGAUGAGAUGUCAUUUGUGACUCCUCAGCACUUCGGAACUAAGUCUUGGAUCCGGGGGAAUGUCGCAGCUGAACUAAAGGAAUUG